GACGAACGCUGGCGGCGUGCCUAAUACAUGCAAGUCGAGGGGCAGCAGGGAUAGCAAUAUUCGCUGGCGACCGGCGCACGGGUGCGUAACACGUAUACAAUCUGCCUUUUACAGGGGGAUAGCCUUUCGAAAGAGAGAUUAAUACCCACUAAUAGUUGACCGGGCAUCUGGUUGAUUUGAAAGCUCCGGCGGUAAGAGAUGAGUAUGCGCCUGAUUAGCUAGUAGGUGAGGUAACGGCUCACCUAGGCUACGAUCAGUAGGGGAGUCUGAGAGGACUAACCCCCACCACGGAUACUGAGACACGGAGUCCGACUCCUACGGGAGGGCAGCAGUAAGG
rnacentral:rRNA from 1 species